UACAGAGGUCCCAAGCGUUGUUCGGAUUCACUGGGCGUAAAGGGUGCGUAGGUGGUCGGGUAAGUCUGAUGUGAAAUCUCCGAGCUUAACUCGGAAAUGGCAUUGGAUACUAUUCGACUGGAGGGUUGGAGGGGGGACUGGAAUUCUCGGUGUAGCAGUGAAAUGCGUAGAUAUCGAGAGGAACACCAGUGGCGAAGGCGAGUCCCUAGACAACUCCUGACACUGAGGCACGAAAGCUAGGGGAGCAAACAGG
rnacentral:rRNA from 1 species